rnacentral:rRNA from 1 species
UACGUAGGGUGCGAGCGUUGUCCGGAAUUAUUGGGCGUAAAGAGCUCGUAGGCGGUUUGUCGCGUCUGCUGUGAAAUCCCGAGGCUCAACUUCGGGCUUGCAGUGGGUACGGGCAGACUAGAGUGCGGUAGGGGAGAUUGGAAUUCCUGGUGUAGCGGUGGAAUGCGCAGAUAUCAGGAGGAACACCGAUGGCGAAGGCAGAUCUCUGGGCCGUAACUGACGCUGAGGAGCGAAAGCAUGGGGAGCGAACAGG